UUAAGUCGACCGCCUGGGGAGUACGGCCGCAAGGUUAAAACUCAAAUGAAUUGACGGGGGCCCGCACAAGCGGUGGAGCAUGUGGUUUAAUUCGAUGCAACGCGAAGAACCUUACCUGGUCUUGACAUCCACGGAAGUUUUCAGAGAUGAGAAUGUGCCUUCGGGAACCGUGAGACAGGUGCUGCAUGGCUGUCGUCAGCUCGUGUUGUGAAAUGUUGGGUUAAGUCCCGCAACGAGCGCAACCCUUAUCCUUUGUUGCCAGCGGUCCGGCCGGGAACUCAAAGGAGACUGCCAGUGAUAAACUGGAGGAAGGUGGGGAUGACGUCAAGUCAUCAUGGCCCUUACGACCAGGGCUACACACGUGCUACAAUGGCGCAUACAAAGAGAAGCGACCUCGCGAGA
rnacentral:rRNA from 1 species